AUGAAAUGUGCAACACCUCUCACGCCCCCUAGCACCGACCUAAGCGGAACUCUAUUACACAUAUGGUGAAUGGACUCCAUGAUCCCAAAGGCCCAGAAAAUAUAACAACACUGAAUCAAGACAUCUUGGCCAUUUCUUAGAAAUGUUUUAGUUUAUUAAUAUUGUUGUCAAGCAGUAACGCUGCAUUAUUAUACGUUGUUUGUGUAUUGGUUAUUUUGUUAUGUAUAAUCCUCCCAGGAUAACACGAAACGCGGGAAAUUUUGGUAUAACUAAUAAUAGGGUAGUCAGGUAUAUUAUAAAAAAUAAUGGUAUAUAAAGUAAUAAGUACUUAUUUUUACGUUUUGUAUUCUGAAUGGCUUGGUGGUGUAGGUGAUAAGGCGUCCGUUUGUUUUUUGUAACAGUUUCUGUUAUGGACAGAUAUACGGUUCGAACCCAGACGACGAAGGUUUUUUUUUUAUUAUUUUGUUUUUAAUUUUAUUUAUUUAUUGCUUAUUCUUUAUUUAUCUAUUUAUUUGAUUUUAUUUAUUUAUUUAUUGUUUCAUCUUUCAUGAAAUCAUUUGCAAUAACAAUGAGCAUUUCAUGAGACGUGUAGUAUUAAAGUCAACAUGGUACAUGUAUGUAAUUACAAUAUCUAACAAUAGUUACAAAAGAUCAGUACAUUCAACGGUUGUGUCUUUACAAGGAGACCAACCAUCAGAUUCAGAGGCAGUGUCUGUCGCCGAGUCACUUGUAACCUGAAACUCAAGUGUUUUUUUCCAUUUCCUUGUCAAUAACAAUGUCAGCAGCCCAGUAUUUUUCCUCGAUUGUCUUGACAUGUUCGCAGUUUUUCAGUGAAGGUAACACAUAUAAGAAAAAGGCAAAUAACAUGAAAAACUCGUGCAAAAACAUAAGCAACAAAAUGUUAAAACUUUCUCCACCUGGAUUUGAACCCGCAAUAAAAGUGUCGUAGUUGUAAGUUCCUGUGCUCUUACCACUGUACUAGUCCCGCUCUUGAUUUUCCUUCGCAUUUUUCAGUAGUAAUAAAUGCUAUUAUUGUCACAACCCUUACCUAUUUUGCUGUGUUUGACUCUUCCGAUUAAUGUUUGUAAACAAAAUAUUAUCCCGGGCGGACUAUAGCAAUUUGUAAAUGAAUGUUUUCUUUUAUUAGAACGGAAACCAUUACAAUAUCACACUGUAUGUCGAUCCCUGUAAUUUCUUCACCUACGAUGAUGACCGAGAUGGUGCUAUCGUGAAAGAUGAACUACGUGCUAUCUUCGGCGACAAUGAAAAGACUGACGCUCUGUUUGAGGACCUUGAUGUUACAAAAGAUGACGAAGGGAUAAACCCGGAGGAAUUCUAUGCCAUGGCACCUAUGAUCAUAGCUGAUUGUUUGGACACUGAGAAGUAAUAGCAAACUCUUCCACAUUUCUGAAGAAGCUGCAUUCAGUAUGAAGAUGGUGUCUAAUAAACAUAACAACAACAACAAAAAGGAUUCUUGUUAGCUAAUUAUCUUCAAAAAUAUUUGUUAUGUUCACAUAUAUAGCAUUCAUCAAGUAAAUAAAAAUACACUGCUGAAGCAGGUCAA
rnacentral:lncRNA from 1 species